UUUUGGGAGAGCAUUACCCCGAAGACACCAGAUCCUAUCUGAUCUUGGGAGCUAAGGAGGGUCAGCCUUGGUUUGGAUUUGCAGAGGAAAUUUCCAGGAAAUAUCAGGUGCUGCAGGGC
rnacentral:rRNA from 11 species